rnacentral:rRNA from 1 species
GGGGGCCCGCAAGCGGUGAAGCAUGUGGUUCAAUUCGACGCAACGCGAAGAACCUUACCUGGGCUCGAACGGCUGGUUACCGGCGGUGGAAACAUCGCUACCCCGCAAGGGGGUCCAGUCGAGGUGCUGCAUGGCUGUCGUCAGCUCGUGUCGUGAGAUGUUGGGUUAAGUCCCGCAACGAGCGCAACCCUUGUCCUGUGUUGCCAUCAUUCAGUUGGGAACUCGCAGGAGACCGCCAGCGAUAAGCUGGAGGAAGGUGGGGAUGACGUCAAGUCCUCAUGGCCUUUAUGUCCAGGGCUACACACGUGCUACAAUGGACGGUACAAACCGCAGCAAACCCGCGAGGGGGAGCCAAUCGGAGAAAACCGUUCUCAGUUCGGAUUGCAGGCUGCAACUCGCCUGCAUGAAGCUGGAAUCGCUAGUAAUGGCAGAUCAGCACGCUGCCGUGAAUACGUUCCCGGGCCUUGUACGCACC